CUUCAACAUUUAGAAUCCUCCCACUGCAAGUCAAAAGAAGCAAAAAAAGCAAUAUUUGUAAAGGUAGAGAAGUAGAGCCUCCAAAUAAGAAGAAUAGUGUAAUGGUAACGAAAUUUAUUUCUAACAUCUAGAUACUCCAUGCUUUACUAGUGCUGGCAUGACAUUAACACUCCCUUUAAAUGGCUAAAAUGAUCAACUUAAUUUGUUAGUACAAUUCCAACAACUAAUAAGGCUACAAGAUAUUUUGAUCAUAUUAAAUAGAACCGUUUUUUUCUUGAAAAAGAAAUGAAUGCCAUUUCAGAGGAAAACCAACAAUGCUAAAAAACCACAAGGCAAUAACAAAAGCUUAUGCAUCCAAUUAGGCCUGACACUUAC
rnacentral:misc_RNA from 1 species